UCUCCCUAGUAAAAUAAAACACAUCGUUUCGUUUCGCAAAAUCCUCUCUUAGCCUUUCGCUUUCUAUUUUGCGAUUUCUCGCGAUUUCGAAAGUUGAAAGCUCUCUACUUUUCAUAUUCCCUAUUUUGUCCCUGGCGACCCGGCGGCGAUCGCCGACUUUCAUCGUUACGUACAUGUUUUUCCGUUUUCGUCGCUAUCGGUAAGCCCUAGAUACUCUCAAUUUCCUUUACUUUCUUAAUUUCGUCGAGGGAUUUGAGAAAAUUGAAUAUUGAUAUAUCUAGGGUUUAUCUUCUUCGUCUUUUUCCUUGAUUUCUAUUAUGAUUUGAUUGUUUUUCGAGCUACACAGAGCGAGACUCGAGGAUCUGAUUCUUCGGUUUGGUUGUUUUAGCUGCCUUUUAUUUUAAGGUUUCGUAUUGAUUAACCUAGUUUGGGCUUUUAUUUUUUUGGUUGAAAGUUGGGGGAAUUUUGGCUAGGCUUGUUGUGUUCGGGGGUUUAGGGUUUUAUAAGUAAACAAUUCGGAAGGAAUUUCUUGAAUUGGAAAGCGGUUGGUUUCUGAAUAUUUUGAAAUUUAUACAUGGCUGCUGGGAGAAAUGGGGGUUAUCAUGGUAAUGGGUUUAGGAAUAGAGAUUCUGAAUUUGAGGUGACGAGGCGGGAAAUUGCUAAUUCUAAGGAUUAUGAGCCUUCUAGGAAUGAUAGCCGUAAUAAUGAAAGGCGAGAUAGAGUUAGGGUUAGGCAAAAGGAUGUUAAGGAGAGGGAAGUGGUAAAUGGUGGUUCUCUGUCCUCUUCGAGUAGGGAUUCAGGUGGCAGUAGUGGUGGUGGAGGAGGUAGUCGGGGACCCAAGCGAUGUGAGUUCUCUCGUAGGGUGGUAGAUAAGGAGCCUGGUGAGUUGUCUAGUGAAAGUGGAUCGGAGGAUGCCAUAGAGUCUGAGUUGACUAUUAAAAAUAGUGAGAUUGCGAAAGCAAUGGAUAAUGGGGCUCAAUCUCCUGUGGGAAAGAAAAGGAAGUUUUCGCCUAUAGUAUGGGAUAUAGAUGACAAGGUAUUAAGUAAUUCAUCGAAAAGUAGGAUUUCACCAGCAGUUACAGCUGCUCCUCCUCCACCAGCAGUGCCUAAAGUUUAUCACAGUUCACCUAACAAUGUCUCUGGUGGUACUGUACAGACAUCUCCUGUUAGAGAAAGAAAAAAGCAGAAAUUACAACCUCCUUCACCAGUUGCUGCUACUGAAAUUGCUGGAUACUCCACUUUGGAAUCUCGAAUCGAUUUGGAUUUUUCCCCACCUAAAGAGCAGGUUAACAAUCAGGAUGCGGGGCAGCUUGACGAUGAAGAUUAUGUACCAACCAGACAUAUAUCUUCCUCAAGAUGGGCGUCUGGUGAUAGUUCUCCUGGUGAUGAGGGUGAAAUUUUAGAAGAUGAGGAAAUGCCUAAAAUGAGGAAAAAGUUAUCUCUUCUGGAAUCAGCCCAUAAAAGAUUUCAGAAUAAGUCGACAACUCCAGAGCUUGGGGAGCUUAACAGGGAAGGCUCUGAGGGAGUUAGAGCUAAAUCAUCUGAAUCUGAUGAACGAGCUGCUCGUUCCAGGUCUGGAAGUGGGAAUGAUUCAGAGAAGGAUGACUACAUGGAGAUUGAUGUUGAACAUGAUAGAAAUGACAGCAGUGUAAGCGAGUCUGAUAGAGAUGCUGAGAAUGAAAGUGACUCACCGGUUACGCCAGAACCUCCAGCUCCUCCUUUAAGAAGUGUGAACAUGCUUCAGGGAUGUAGAAGUGUAGAUGAAUUUGAGAGAUUAAAUAAGAUAGAUGAAGGUACUUAUGGUGUUGUUUAUAGAGCUAGGGACAAGAAGACAGGGGAAAUUGUGGCAUUGAAGAAGGUAAAGAUGGAGAAAGAAAGAGAAGGUUUUCCUCUGACCUCUUUGAGGGAAAUAAACAUUCUUCUCUCAUUUCAUCACCCAUCGGUUGUAGAUGUUAAAGAAGUAGUUGUAGGGAGUAACCUUGAUAGUAUCUUUAUGGUUAUGGAAUACAUGGAACAUGAUCUGAAAGCGCUGAUGGAGACAAUGAGACAACCAUUCAGCCAAAGUGAGGUUAAAUGCUUGAUGCUUCAGCUACUGGAGGGUGUCAAGUAUCUUCAUGACAAUUGGGUUCUGCAUCGAGAUUUGAAGACAUCUAAUCUGCUUUUAAAUAACCAAGGUGAAUUGAAGAUUUGUGAUUUUGGGUUGGCUCGUCAGUAUGGAAGCCCAUUAAAACCAUAUACACAUUUGGUUGUUACUCUUUGGUACAGGGCUCCAGAACUUCUUUUGGGAGCAAGACAAUAUUCCACUGCAAUUGACAUGUGGUCUUUGGGUUGUAUAAUGGCUGAACUACUUUCGAAAGAACCACUUUUCAACGGGAAAACUGAAUUUGAUCAACUUGACAAGAUUUUCAGAACACUGGGCACACCAAAUGAGACAAUAUGGCCUGGUUUUUCGAAGUUGCCUGGAGUCAAGGUCAAUUUUGUCAAGCAUCAGUAUAAUCUAUUGCGCAAAAAAUUUCCAGCCACGUCGUUCACUGGCACACCUGUUCUCUCUGACGCAGGAUUUGACUUACUGAAUAAACUCCUUACUUAUGAUCCUGAGAAGCGUAUAACUGCUGAAGCUGCUCUUAACCAUGAGUGGUUUCGUGAAGUUCCUCUUCCCAAGACCAAAGCUUUCAUGCCCACUUUCCCUGCCCAACAUGCUCAAGACAGGCGAAUGAGAAGAAUACUGAAGAGCCCAGAUCCUUUGCAAGAGCAACGUAGAAAGGAGUUGCAACAAGGGGAACUAGGGACUGGUGGUCUAUUUGGCUAAGAGAAAAUUCAUCCAUCAGUGCUGUUUGAUCUUCAUUUUUUAGAAUUUUCUCAUUAUUGUUAGAGGGCCGUGUUUGAGGCACUGAUGAUGUUUUAGCUGGAGAUAUUGGUUGCCUCUUCCUGUGCGCCAGAUGUUUUGCAGGUUAUAUUGUUUUCCAGCUUUGUUCAUCAUAUAAAAAUGCAUCUGACACUGCUUGCAUCGCAAGGUGUGGCUAUCAGCCUUUCUUCUUCUAGAAAUCAGUUUCAGCUGAGACUUGUGUAACAUAUUUUUAUUGGAACAAUGAUGUAAACCUUCCUUUUAUAUCUGGUUUUGAAUAUUAAAAAAGAAAUCUGGAUUUCUUCCA